AGACCUUUGGACAAAUUUGGAAGACAGAUAUGGUCAGUCAAAUGGGUCAAAAUUAUACCACCUACAAAAAGAAUUUAAGUGACUUGGUUCAAGGUUCUAGUGAUAUAGCAGGUUAUUUCACAAAGAUCAAAAGACUUUGGGAUGAACUAGACACUUUAAUUACUAAUGUAUGUUGUGAUUGUGUCUGUACUUGUGAAGGAAAAGUUAAAAUUAUUAAGUCUAUGCAAGAUGAAAGAUUGAUCCAUUUUUUAAUGGGUUUAAAUGACUCUUUUUCUCAUAUUGGAGGAACUAUAUUGAUGAUCGCUCCUCUUCCUAAUGUUAUCAUGGCUUACUCACUUUUAAUCCAAGAUGAAAAACAAAGAGAAGGUUAUGUUAAUAAUCAAUAUCCUGGAGAGUCUUCCUCUUUUUUGGUUGUUAAUAGGGCUGCAGGGAAUAAAAAAAAUGGAAAUCAUGAUUAUACAGGAAAAGGAAAAGUUGAUUUAAAGAAGAAUAGCCUUGUUUGUUCUUAUUGUAAGAAGUUGGGACAUACUAUAGACAAGUGCUACAGGAUUGUGGGCUUUCCGUAAGAUUUAAAGUUCAUCAGGUACAAGAAGAUUCAAGGAGGAACUCAUUGCAAUGCAGUCAUAACAGAGCCCCUCCUUCACAAGGUUUUUAUGCACAUGAAACAAAUGAAAAUCAACAGCUCUCACCAGAGCAGUUCACUCUACUCAACAAGUGAAAAUUGGUCAAUCAGAGGCUAAACCCUCAGAAGUUACUGCCAACUGCGUGUUCUGGUAUAACUAAUCUUGCUCAUCAAUUUCUUUCCUGUUUUAAUCAUAUCAAAUUCAACUCCUAGAUCAUAGAUUCAGGGGCAUCAGAACAUAUGCUUUUUGAUGUUUCUCUUUUUUCUUAUCGCACUCCUUUUGUCACACCUUUAACAGUAAAUCUACCUAACUCACAAAAGGUGAAGGUUACUCAUAAAGGAAAUGUUCAAAUCUUGCCAAAUUUGAUUUUACAUAAUGUUCUUUUUGUUCCAGAAUUCAAUUAUUAUCUUCUUUCUAUUGAGAAAUUAUGCCUUCAAUAUAAAUACAUACUAACUUUCUCUUCCACUGGUUGUUUCUUAUAGGCCCUUCAAUGAAGAGGCCACUGGUUCUUGGUGAAAGUCGUAAUGAUCUCUAUCUGCUCAAAUCCAACUCCACAACUCCUAAGUCUAGCAUUCAAGACAUCUUCAGUAUUCCAGUUUUACAAAGUUCAACAAUCUUUCCUAAUUCAACAUUUUCUUCUUUUUCUAGUAAUGUUUUAGGAUCUACGGUUGAUGUAAAUUUGUGGCAUAAGAGAUUAGGCCACUUAUCUUAUUCAUAAAUGAAAAGAAUAAAGUCAGUUAUUUGGAAUUUUCAAUCUCAUGCUAAUUUACCUUGUGAUAUUUGUCCAAUGGCCAAACAAACUAAAUUACCUAUCCCUUCAAGCAUUAUUUCUACCAUAUCAAUCUUUGAAUUAAUUCACAUAGUUUUAUAUGGGUUCCAUAUAAAACUAGCACAUAAGAUGGUUUCAAAUAUUUUCUUACUAUAGUUGAUGAUUUUAGUAGAGGAACUUGGACAUUUCUUUUGACUACUAAGAGUAAUGCUUUUCCCCUUCUCAAACACUUUCUUAGUAUGGAAGAAAGACAAUUCAAUACUAAAGUUAAAAUAAUCAGAUCUGAUAAUGCUUUAGAAUUAGGUUCUAGUUUCAUCAUUUCAGACUUCUUCAAAACUCAAGGUAUUUUACAUCAAAUUUCUUGUGUCGGAACUCCCCAACAAAAUGGAAUAGUAGAAAGAAAGCAUAGACACCUAUUGGAAAUAUGUUGGUCUCUUAUGCAUCAAUCACAAGUCCCUACUUCUUUCUGGGGAGAUUGUCUUCUUAGUUCUACUAUUUUAAUAAACAGAUUUAUCAAGAGUAUUAAAAUUCACCACUCCUUACGAAGUGCUUCACAAAACUAAACCAUCCUAUAAUUUUUGAGAACUUUUGGAUGUUUAUAUUAUAUUUCAACUCUUUUCGCUCAUAGGGGAAAAUUGGAACCUAGAGCUGUCAAAGGUAUAUUUUUGGGAUACCUACUAGGAAAAAGGGAUAUAAAGUCAUGAGUCUUCUUACAAGAAAAAUUAUUUAUUCAAGGGAUGUAGUUUUUCAUGAGAAUAUAUUUCCCCAUUCUUCUCCAUCUCCUUCUAUUCUUAUUUUCCCACAAAAUUUUGAUUAUUUUCACUAUGCUAGCGAUCCUAUUACGGAGCCAAUUUCUCCUACAAAACCUCCUGCAAAGGGCCUUGAACCACCGAAUUCACCUCUUGUUCAUACUUCAUCUUCUAGUCCAACUAUUUUGUCACCUGGGAAUGUAAAUCCUAGUUUUCUUUCUCCUACAACUCCACCUCUUCCUAGUUCACAAAUCGAUACUAUUUCUACUACUUUACUCCAUCAUUCAACUCCUAAAGUCACCAGAUCAGGAAGGACUCAACAUAAGCCUUCUUACAUAAAAGAUUUUAUCUGUAAUGCAGUACAUUUUACUGCACUUACUGAUACUUGUUUUGCAGCUUCUAUUCAAACUCCUAUUUUUUCCUUCUCUACCCUCUCCAUUACUAAUCAACAAAUGUUAAACUCAAUUUCUAUUAUUAAGGAACCUUCUAGUUAUGUAGAAGCUUCCACGCAUCACGGUUGGCAGGAAACUAUGAAAAGUGAGUUUGAAGCACUGAUUUCUAAUCACAUUUGGGAGACUAUGGAAUUACAAGUGGGACAUAGAGCUCUUCCUUGCAAAUGGGUUUACAAAUUCAAGCAUAAGUCUGAUGGAUUCGCUGAGAGACUUAAGGCUAGACUUGUUAUAAGAGGAGAUAUUCAAAGAGAAGGAAUCGAUUACACUGAGACUUAUUCCCUUGUUGUUAAGAUGACUACCAUAAGAUUUUUGUUUUCAGUAGCCGUUAAGAUGAAUUGGGGGAUUUAUCAAUUAGAUGUAAACAAUGAGUUUCUACAUGGAGAACUACAAGAGGAAGUUUUGAAAUUUCUCCCCGGAAUGCAACCUACUAAUCCUAAUCUCAUUUGCAAGCUUAGAAAAUCUCUUUAUGGUUUAAAACAAGCCUCGAGGUAGUGGUAUGGUAGGAUCAUAGCUGUACUCAACUUCAAAGGUUAUAUUUAUUCUUUGAAUGACUAUUCUUUAUUUUUCAAACAUACAGGGAAUUCUAUUUCACUUGUUGCUGUUUAUGUCGAUGAUAUUUUACUAACCGACAAUGAUCCUAUUGAACUCAAUUCUCUUAAGUCAUUUCUCAAUGAUGAAUUUAAAAUCAAGGACCUCGGAGAGGUGCAUUAUUUUUUGGGAAUGGAGGUUAUUAGGGAAAAUCAUAGACUUAUUCUUAGUCAAAGGAAAUUUACCUUGGAAUUGCUGGAUGAAUUUGAUUCUCAGAAAUCAGCUCCUGUUUCUUCUCCUUUGGAUCCUUCACAAAAACUAAAGAUGGACUAAGGUGAGUUAUUAGCCGACCCAAUAACUUAUCGACGGCUAUUAGGUAAAUUAAAUUUUCUCACUCAUACCAGGCUAGAUUUAUCUUUUGCUAUGCAACAUUUGACCCAGUAUAUGCAGCAGCCAAGGCUUCCUCAUUUUUUGGCAGUACUCAGAGUUAUUCGGUACCUCAAAUUAGCUUCUGGCCAAGGUUUAUUUUUCUCAAUUUCACAUUUGAUUGAGCUCAUGGCUUUCUGCAUUUCCGAUUGGGGAUCCUGUCCCGAUUCCAGACGCUCUGUUUCUGGCUAUUUCAUUACUCUUAGGGGAUCAUCUAUUUCAUGGAAAUAUAAGAAGAAAUCUUCUAUUUCUCUAUUUUCUGCUGAGGUAGAAUAUCGAUCUAUGAGGCGUGUUGUUGGUGAACUGACCUGGUUUGUAAAAUUGCUUCAUGAUCUUUCUAUCACUCCAUCUCUCCCAAUUACUCUUCACUCGGACAGUCAAUUUGUCAUCCACAUCGCAAAAAAUCUUGUCUUCCAUGAACGGACCAAACAUGUGGAGAUCGAUUGUCACUUCUUUCGACAACAAUACCUUGCUAGACUGAUUUCUUUAUCAUAUGUUCCUUCAUCUGCUCAACUUGCAGAUCUCUUCACCAAACCGUUGUCAGGGCCUUCAUACUUUUCCAUCCUUUGCAAGUUGGGUGUCUCUGGUUUCCCCUCCAACUUGUGGGGGCUGGUGGUGUUGGAAUUUCAAAGCUCAAAGAAGAAUACAAUGAAGAAGAGGAAGAAACGAAUAUGCUGGGCAAAGAAAAGAAAUUGAGGAACAUGAUCCAAAUUAAAAAGUCACGUGCAGAAGACCCCAAGUAAAGAAAAGCUGGACAAUUUUUUUUUGUAAAUAUAUUUUUCUUUUGUUUUGUAUUUAAUUAGAUAUACAUGAGUUGUUCUCAACCAAUAGGAAAAUAGAUAGAUGUAUAGUUUGAUUACAAUUGGACUCUUUUUCAGCUGUAUAAAUACAUGUACAGAAUACAAAAGUAAAGAAAACAGACAUACAAUUUCC
rnacentral:lncRNA from 1 species